GAUGAACGCUGGCUACAGGCUUAACACAUGCAAGUCGAGGGGAAACGACGGGGAAGCUUCCUUCCCCGUGCGUCGACCGGCGCACGGGUGAGUAACGCGUAUCCACCCCGCCUCUGACUGAGGGAUAACUCGUCGAAAGUCGGCCUAAUACCUCACGGCAUCGUCUGCGGGCAUCCAACGACGGUUAAAGAUUUCAUCGGUCAGGGAUGGGGAUGCGUCUGAUUAGCUUGUUGGCGGGGUAACGGCCCACCAAGGCUACGAGCAGUAGGGGUUGUGAGAGGAAGGUCCCACACAUUGGAACUGAGACACGGUCCAAACUCCUACGGGAGGCAGCAGUGAGGAAUAUUGGUCAAUGGGCGGGAGCCUGAACCAGCCAAGUAGCGAGCAGGAUGACGGCCAUAUGGGUUGUAAACUGCUUUGAUGCGGGGAUAAAGUGAGGGACGUGUCUUGCAUUGCAGGUACCGCAUGAAUAAGGACCGGCUAAUU
rnacentral:rRNA from 1 species